AGUGAAUUCGCAACAGGGGAGGAAAAAAGAACCACAACUUCCAAGGCCCUGCUUUUUUUCUUAAAAGUACUUUUAAAAAGAAAAAUUUGUUUGUAUUUUUUAUUUACAUUUUAUAAUUUUGUACAUAUUGUUAGGGGUAAGCCAUUUUUAAUGAUCUCGGAUGACCAAACCAGCCUUCGGAGCAUUCUCUGUCCUACUUCUGACUUUACUUGUGGUGUGACCAUGUUCAUUAUAAUCUCAAAGGAGAAAAAAAAUACCUUGUAAAAGAAAGCAAAAACAAUCUUAUUCUGAGCAUUCCAGUAAUUUUUUUUGUGUACACACUUUAGCUGUACUAUAAGUAGUUGGUUUGUAUGAGAUGGUUUAAAAGGCCAAAGAUAAAAAGGUUUCUUUUUUUUUUCCUUUUUUUUUGUCUAUUAAGUUGCUGUUUAUUUAUUUAUUUAUUUUGGCCUGUUUGAUGUAUGUGUGAAAAAAUGUUGUCCAACAAUAAAC
rnacentral:lncRNA from 1 species